rnacentral:rRNA from 1 species
GACGAACGCUGGCGGCGUGCCUAAUACAUGCAAGUCGAGCGCAGGAAACUGACGGAACUCUUCGGAGGGAAGGCAGUGGAAUGAGCGGCGGACGGGUGAGUAACACGUAAGGAACCUGCCUCAAGGAUUGGGAUAACUCCGAGAAAUCGGAGCUAACACCGGAUAGUUCAACGGACCGCAUGGUCCGCUGAUGAAAGGCGCUUCGGCGUCACCUUGAGAUGGCCUUGCGGUGCAUUAGCUAGUUGGUGGGGUAACGGCCCACCAAGGCGACGAUGCAUAGCCGACCGGAGAGGGUGAUCGGCCACACUGGGACUGAGACACGGCCCAGACUCCUACGGGAGGCAGCAGUAGGGAAUCUUCCACAAUGGACGAAAGUCUGAUGGAGCAACGCCGCGUGAGUGAUGAAGGUUUUCGGAUCGUAAAACUCUGUUGUAAGGGAAGAACACGUACGAGAGGAAAUGCUCGUACCUUGACGGUACCUUACGAGAAAGCCACGGCUAACUACGUGCCAGCCGCCGCCGUAA